rnacentral:rRNA from 1 species
AACGAACGCUGGCGGCAUGCCUAACACAUGCAAGUCGAGCGAGACCUUCGGGUCUAGUGGCGCACGGGUGCGUAACGCGUGGGAACCUGCCCUUAGGUUCGGAAUAACUCCCCGAAAGGGGUGCUAAUACCGGAUAAUGUCUUCGGACCAAAGAUUUAUCGCCUUUGGAUGGGCCCGCGUUGGAUUAGCUAGUUGGUAGGGUAAAAGCCUACCAAGGCGACGAUCCAUAGCUGGUCUGAGAGGAUGAUCAGCCACACUGGGACUGAGACACGGCCCAGACUCCUACGGGAGGCAGCAGUGGGGAAUAUUGGACAAUGGGCGAAAGCCUGAUCCAGCAAUGCCGCGUGAGUGAUGAAGGCCUUAGGGUUGUAAAGCUCUUUUACCCGGGAUGAUAAUGACAGUACCGGGAGAAUAAGCCCCGGCUAACUCCGUG